UACGGAGGGUGCAAGCGUUAUCCGGAUUCACUGGGUUUAAAGGGUGCAUAGGCGGGCAGGUAAGUCCGUGGUGAAAUCUCUGAGCUUAACUCAGAAACUGCCAUGGAUACUAUUUGUCUUGAAUGUUGUGGAGGUAAGCGGAAUAUGUCAUGUAGCGGUGAAAUGCUUAGAUAUGACAUAGAACACCAAUUGCGAAGGCAGCUUACUACACAAAUAUUGACGCUGAGGCACGAAAGCGUGGGGAUCAAACAGG
rnacentral:rRNA from 1 species